rnacentral:misc_RNA from 1 species
AAGUCGUAACAAGGUUUCCGUAGGUGAACCUGCGGAAGGAUCAUUACUGGUUUUAAAAUAAUGAAAUGGAUUCGAAGAGUUCAUUUCAUUAUUUUACAUUUGCGCUUGUGUUGUUUGACAGAGUAACCUUUGGAUAAAUUUAGACAACUUUUAACAAUGGAUCUCUUGGCUCUU